rnacentral:rRNA from 1 species
CCUACGGGGGGCUGCAGUAAGGAAUAUUGCACAAUGGGGGAAACCCUGAUGCAGCAACGCCGCGUGGGUGAUGAAGGCUUUCGAGUUGUAAAACCCUUUACUGUGGGAUGAGGAAGGACAGUACCACAGCAAAAAGUCUCGGCUAACUACGUGCCAGCAGCCGCGGUGAGACGUAGGAGGCAAGCGUUAUCCGGAAUCACUGGGCGUAAAGGGCAAGUAGGCGGUUGUUCAAGUUGGGCGUGACAGAUCUCGGCUUAACUGAGAGAGGUCGUCCAAUACUGAGCGACUAGAGGGCAGGAGAGGAAAGUGGAACUCCCGAUGUAGCGGUGGAAUGCUCAGAUAUCGGGAAGAACACCAGUGGCGAAGGCGGCUUUCUGGCCUGCACCUGACGCUGAGAGGCGAAAGCUAGGGUAGCGAACGGGCUUAGAUACCCCGGUAGUC